GGCAAGUGAUGAAAACUGUGUAUGUAGGAGGCCAUUGACUGUUUUUACAAACCAGAGUAAAAUCAUUGUCUGAAAUCUUGGUGGACAUAUCUCAGUUUGUAUGUCUGCUGUAAGGCCAGGCAUAUACAGGGGGCACUGUCAUUCAAUACGGCUGACUCUAGAUAUAGUCUGCUGUGAUUGAUGGAGCACAAAGUUGGGGACAGGGGUUGUAGUGGGAUGCAUUAUGGGAAGGAUUUAAUACAAGCAGUCAAUGGUCUAUGAUUUCUAUCUUUAGUAAUCUGAUGCCA